UCGAUGAUUGUGUUUGUUCUACACCUUGU
rnacentral:sRNA from 1 species